rnacentral:rRNA from 1 species
UACGUAGGGUGCAAGCGUUGUCCGGAAUUAUUGGGCGUAAAGAGCUCGUAGGCGGUCUGUUGCGUCGGCUGUGAAAACCCGGGGCUCAACUCCGGGCCUGCAGCCGAUACGGGCAGACUAGAGUUCGGCAGGGGAGACUGGAAUUCCUGGUGUAGCGGUGAAAUGCGCAGAUAUCAGGAGGAACACCGGUGGCGAAGGCGGGUCUCUGGGCCGAUACUGACGCUGAGGAGCGAAAGCGUGGGUAGCAAACAGG